UACGAAGGGGGCUAGCGUUGCUCGGAAUCACUGGGCGUAAAGCGCACGUAGGCGGCUUGUUAAGUCAGGGGUGAAAUCCUGGAGCUCAACUCCAGAACUGCCCUUUGAUACUGGCGAGCUUGAGUCCGGGAGAGGUGAGUGGAACUGCGAGUGUAGAGGUGAAAUUCGUAGAUAUUCGCAAGAACACCAGUGGCGAAGGCGGCUCACUGGCCCGGUACUGACGCUGAGGUGCGAAAGCGUGGGGAGCAAACA
rnacentral:rRNA from 1 species